rnacentral:rRNA from 2 species
AAAUUGAAGAGUUUGAUCAUGGCUCAGAUUGAACGCUGGCGGCAGGCCUAACACAUGCAAGUCGAGCGGUAGCACAGAGAGCUUGCUCUCGGGUGACGAGCGGCGGACGGGUGAGUAAUGUCUGGGAAACUGCCUGAUGGAGGGGGAUAACUACUGGAAACGGUAGCUAAUACCGCAUAAUGUCGCAAGACCAAAGUGGGGGACCUUCGGGCCUCAUGCCAUCAGAUGUGCCCAGAUGGGAUUAGCUAGUAGGUGGGGUAACGGCUCACCUAGGCGACGAUCCCUAGCUGGUCUGAGAGGAUGACCAGCCACACUGGAACUGAGACACGGUCCAGACUCCUACGGGAGGCAGCAGUGGGGAAUAUUGCACAAUGGGCGCAAGCCUGAUGCAGCCAUGCCGCGUGUGUGAAGAAGGCCUUCGGGUUGUAAAGCACUUUCAGCGGGGAGGAAGGCGAUAAGGUUAAUAACCUUGUCGAUUGACGUUACCCGCAGAAGAAGCACCGGCUAACUCCGUGCCAGCAGCCGCGGUAAUACGGAGGGUGCAAGCGUUAAUCGGAAUUACUGGGCGUAAAGCGCACGCAGGCGGUCUGUCAAGUCGGAUGUGAAAUCCCCGGGCUUAACCUGGGAACUGCAUUCGAAACUGGCAGGCUAGAGUCUUGUAGAGGGGGGUAGAAUUCCAGGUGUAGCGGUGAAAUGCGUAGAGAUCUGGAGGAAUACCGGUGGCGAAGGCGGCCCCCUGGACAAAGACUGACGCUCAGGUGCGAAAGCGUGGGGAGCAAACAGGAUUAGAUACCCUGGUAGUCCACGCCGUAAACGAUGUCGAUUUGGAGGUUGUGCCCUUGAGGCGUGGCUUCCGGAGCUAACGCGUUAAAUCGACCGCCUGGGGAGUACGGCCGCAAGGUUAAAACUCAAAUGAAUUGACGGGGGCCCGCACAAGCGGUGGAGCAUGUGGUUUAAUUCGAUGCAACGCGAAGAACCUUACCUGGUCUUGACAUCCACAGAACUUUCCAGAGAUGGAUUGGUGCCUUCGGGAACUGUGAGACAGGUGCUGCAUGGCUGUCGUCAGCUCGUGUUGUGAAAUGUUGGGUUAAGUCCCGCAACGAGCGCAACCCUUAUCCUUUGUUGCCAGCGGUCCGGCCGGGAACUCAAAGGAGACUGCCAGUGAUAAACUGGAGGAAGGUGGGGAUGACGUCAAGUCAUCAUGGCCCUUACGACCAGGGCUACACACGUGCUACAAUGGCAUAUACAAAGAGAAGCGACCUCGCGAGAGCAAGCGGACCUCAUAAAGUAUGUCGUAGUCCGGAUUGGAGUCUGCAACUCGACUCCAUGAAGUCGGAAUCGCUAGUAAUCGUAGAUCAGAAUGCUACGGUGAAUACGUUCCCGGGCCUUGUACACACCGCCCGUCACACCAUGGGAGUGGGUUGCAAAAGAAGUAGGUAGCUUAACCUUCGGGAGGGCGCUUACCACUUUGUGAUUCAUGACUGGGGUGAAGUCGUAACAAGGUAACCGUAGGGGAACCUGCGGUUGGAUCACCUCCUUA